rnacentral:rRNA from 1 species
GCGCGAAGCUUGCAAUAGAGGUUGGAGAGCAGAGCACGGGGUAGGUGCAGAGAGGCUGCACGGGCGAGGUUGAGAGUAGGUUACCGGAGCGGCGUGCGGCUGGGCGUCGUCGUCGUGGUGCGCAGCCGCGGCGGCGAGGACGAGCGGCAUGAGGCGCAAGGCAAGGGCCCCCGGGUCGCGGGCGCGCGCGAGGGGCGGGGCCUGGAGCGGGGAGAGCGCGCGGCGGAGCUGCUCGAGCGGCGGCGCCGCCGGCGGGUGGGCGAGGACUCCGGCGAGAAGCUGGAGGCGGUGGUGGAGAGGUGGAAGAGGGUCUCGCCCUCCGUCUCCUACCACCGCUACGCCGUCCGCCGCACGGGCGACCGGCCGCCGCUCCCGACGAAGCGCCGCCACGACCCGCCCAGGCACCGGCCGUACCACCACAGGUUGCCGCAGUUGUCGAAGGAGUCGGAGAUGUUGUGGCACGAGCAGUAGGCCGAGCACGAGUGGACCAAGGGGUUGUGCGGCGGGCGCUAGCAGAGCGGGGAGUCGUGCCACACACUAGGCAUGGACUUGUAGAAGGCCCCGUAGUAGGGCGGCGACCCGCCCGACCUGGACAGGGGGUAGGAGCGGAAGGACCACGAGUUGCGGGAGUGGCCGUGGCGGCGGCGCGAGGGCCGGCUCGAGGGACGGGUUUGGCCGAGCCACGCGGGACUGCUCGAGUGGCGGUUGGUCUCCUUCACCUACUCCUCUAAGGCGGGCCCCUUUAGCGUCCUCCGUCUCCUACCACGAGGAGCGAUCUGAGCACGUUAAAAAACCUCACGAGGUAGUUUUACACACAACAGUAAGCCGUACAGCUUAAUGGUGACUCCGGACUAAAAAGAAGAAGACUUACACAUACAUCACCUUGGUUUGACGAACUGACAUCACGGUAAAAAACCCAGAAAGA